UGAGAUGUAACUGCUACUUCAUCUACCUGGAGAAUGAACCCUUUCCACAUGAUGACGAUGCCUCCAGAAUGGCUUAUUGUUGGGAACUGGAUAUGUAGAUCAUAUUGUAGUUCCUCCAUGAGCUUCUUGUGAUCUUCCAUCUUGGUUUCCAACAAAACUAGCAUUGUCGGUUUGUGCAUCUUUAUAAUUUCUGAACAGUGUCUUCUGAAUCCGCAUUGUUUGCCCCCUAACAUUCCAUAUAAUGAAAUUCAUUAGGGGGUGUGGGUUUUUGUGGGAGUUCAUGUCGGUGCCUUGUCUCUUACUUGGGCUGGCAUCACAUCAUUCCUCCUAGUUAAUGUUAUAUGGGCUCUCAUCACUGGAGUUAAGGUCAAGAGUGGUUUCAGCAGUCCACAUCUUGCAAGAGUAUUUGGACAAGGUAGGAUCAUGUUCUUGCUGUAAUCCACACUGAAUUCCACUGCUCUUACUACCUCUAGCCAUAAGAAAUCCGUUCUCGUUGGGCUGUAAGGGUUUUAAGGCUACUUCUCCUUGGACAUUUCUUGUCUUUUCAAUAUCUCAAGGGCUUUGGUUAUCUCCUUCGAGAUGUUUCCCGGUGGUGGUAAGUGUUGUUUCUCUUGCAUUGAAUAAGAAGGGUCAUGUUGGGGCCAUAAUGUUGUAGGACUGUGAACUGGGUGCCUCAUAUAGGUCUAGUGCUACUGCGUAUGGGAAGGACAAGAUGGUGUUGAAGAUCACCUGCAUCAUGUAAUGGACUGAAGGUGAAUCGGUUGUUGGAUGAAUAUGGUUAAGGUUGCUAUGUAGAACUAUUAAUUGCCAUAGCUGGGCUCCAAAUAUCAUCAAACCCUUAUUUAAGGCUUCUAAUGUGACUCUUGCCGGAUAGGCAAGAUUUUGGAAGAUGAGCGAUAUUCACUCGAUUCCUAGCAGAAAAUUGUAGCACAGUGCCUGGCCAUGGAGAGCAACCUCGAGCCAGGACGCCGACGUAUAGUCCUAUGGUAGUGGGGUGGAGGUCAAAAUAAUUGGGGUUUGGAAGACAAGUCCAUUUUUGAUAUUUUUUGUGUAUCAUUUUUUGGGCUACUAUUAAUACGGGGGUUAUUGGGGGUAAUCGAGGGACAUGGCUAAUAAUGAGAUUGAAUCAGUACCAGUGGUUGGAGUUUCGUAAACUGUGUCUAAUAUGUUAGUUUUUAAAUUAAAUGAAUAGUCAGUUGAGUUGAUGGAUAUUGUCAAAUCACUUAAGAUUUUGGAAUUGAUCUAAAACGGCACCUCAGUAUCCAAGGAGGGGUUUUCUAUAGAGUGUGUUAGUAGCGGUGGUGUAGCAUGGUAGGGGCCAUUAUUGGUAAUGUAGGCGGUGGAAAAGGCUGGGUCUUCUAAGGUGACAUUGGGUUUGGGGUUGGUGUGGGCCUCCCCCUGAAUUGUUGCCAGGCUCUCACUUGGGAUUUU
rnacentral:lncRNA from 1 species